UGCCAUAUCCGUUCCCAUCCCCCCUCGCCCCGCGGCUUUCUGCCGCCAGUGGGAACCAGGAGAGGUUUCUGCCCUAUGGCGCCGAUUCGCAGUCCUGCGCCAAAUGCCCAGUUCUGCCACAAUUAAAACACCGCCCACGAGAAUGGCGUCUCCAGGAUUGGGGCUGAAGUACCUGUUUUAAAGCCGCGAGAUUCUUUUGCUGACAGUCCUAAAAUGUAGGGCGUGGCUGCCUGCUUCCUUCCUGGUCUUGAGGCCACACAUGUGACUGGGACAGCUCCUGGGGAUCAGCCAGGAGGCAGUGCUGUGGGCAGUGAUGGAGGAGGCAGACCACCUCAGGAUAGGUCUAGGACCCUUCCACCCUGGUGGACAGGUUGUGCCUUCCCUUAAAGACUAUAAGGUGGGUGUACACGUGAACUUGCUCCACCCCUCUGACCUUUAUCCUGAUUGGCUCCUGUGCAGUAUAUAAGCUGUGUGUACUUCCUCAUUAAACGAGAUCCUGCUUUGAUUGUUCUCCCUGGCACAUCUGAUUGUCCUCCCAGGAGGGAGGGCUGGGUGUGGUCUGCCAGUCGACCUGACCUUUCCUCUCUUGGUUCAUCUUGGUUGGGGCGUGCUUUUCCCGCUUCUCCCACUGGUCAGGAGGAGACGGGCUAAAAACCCCAACAUCUGGCGCCCAGAACAGGGACGCCGAACAGGGACACGAAGAAAGUGUCAACGAGCCAAGCCAAGCGAGUACCGAGGUCCAAUGGUGUGAACCUCAGCACAGCACAGAGAUAUCAUCAUCAUGACAGAUGGCUACCUGUGGUUUGAAGGGUUACCUUU